ACGGGUGAGUAAUGUCUGGGGAUCUGCCCGAUAGAGGGGGAUAACCACUGGAAACGGUGGCUAAUACCGCAUAACGUCGCAAGACCAAAGAGGGGGACCUUCGGGCCUCUCACUAUCGGAUGAACCCAGAUGGGAUUAGCUAGUAGGCGGGGUAACGGCCCACCUAGGCGACGAUCCCUAGCUGGUCUGAGAGGAUGACCAGCCACACUGGAACUGAGACACGGUCCAGACUCCUACGGGAGGCAGCAGUGGGGAAUAUUGCACAAUGGGCGCAAGCCUGAUGCAGCCAUGCCGCGUGUAUGAAGAAGGCCUUCGGGUUGUAAAGUACUUUCAGCGGGGAGGAAGGCAGUGAGGUUAAUAACCUUACUGAUUGACGUUACCCGCAGAAGAAGCACCGGCUAACUCCGUGCCAGCAGCCGCGGUAAUACGGAGGGUGCAAGCGUUAAUCGGAAUUACUGGGCGUAAAGCGCACGCAGGCGGUCUGUUAAGUCAGAUGUGAAAUCCCCGGGCUUAACCUGGGAACCGCAUUUGAAACUGGCAGGCUUGAGUCUCGUAGAGGGGGGUAGAAUUCCAGGUGU
rnacentral:rRNA from 1 species